GGGUGUGAGGAUGAUCUGGCUGUGGUACCUGACACCACAUGAACAGCCAAGGUUAAGGCUGCUGUUCUGCCCAGCCAGGCAGAUGCUCUCUUUCUCUCUCUCUAAUUCCUGUCUAUACUUUCAAAGAAGAGAGUGAGCUUUCAGGAGAAAGAUGGGCCUUUGUUUUAUAGACCCUCUGAGGAAUAUUCGUGGCUGUGGUACAUGACAAUUGAGGUAGUACUCAAAAGGUCUGUCAUUUUGGUAACAAUACAGUACUUCUAUUAAAAAGUAGAGAUGCUGAUAAGAUUUGCUUUUCAUGGUACAUUU
ensembl:misc_RNA 7SK 7SK RNA